rnacentral:miRNA from 1 species
AGUAUGUAGUAAUUUUGUAUAUAUUUGCAUUACGCGCGGGAAAAAUAACCAUUUUUGAGCGGAAAGUGGUUAUUUUUACCGCGCGUAAUACAAAUAUAUACAAAAUUUGCGAACU